GUUACGUGUAACUAUAUGGAGAAGUCAGCAGAGGUCAUAGUACCCACGGGAAACGAGUUGCAUAAAACUGCACAGGUCUCACAAAUGGGGAAGGAC
rfam:Zobellia galactanivorans strain DsiJT chromosome, complete genome.